rnacentral:rRNA from 1 species
AGUGAACGCUGGCGAUAGGCCUAACACAUGCAAGUCGAACGGCAGCACAGUAAGAGCUUGCUCUUACGGGUGGCGAGUGGCGGACGGGUGAGGAAUACAUCGGAAUCUACUUUUUCGUGGGGGAUAACGUAGGGAAACUUACGCUAAUACCGCAUACGACCUACGGGUGAAAGCAGGGGAUCUUCGGACCUUGCGCGAUUGAAUUAGCCGAUGUCGGAUUAGCUAGUUGGCGGGGUAACGGCCCACCAAGGCGACGAUCCGUAGCUGGUCUGAGAGGAUGAUCAGCCACACUGGAACUGAGACACGGUCCAGACUCCUACGGGAGGCAGCAGUGGGGAAUAUUGCGCAAUGGGCGAAAGCCUGAUCCAGCCACACCGCGUGGGUGAAGAAGGCCUUCGGGUUGUAAAGCCCUUUUGUUAGGAAAGAAAAGCAGCAGGUUAAUCCCCCGCUGUUCUGACGGUACCCAAAGAAUAAGCACCGGCUAACUUCGUG